GGUUUACGACCUCGAUGUUGGAUCAGGAUUAGACCCCCCUAGAGGAGCCUGUUCUAGAACCGAUAACCCCCGUUGACCUCACCUNNUUUCUUNGUCUAUNCCCGCCUAUAUACCGCCGUCGUCAGCUUACCCUGUGAAGGAUUAAUAGUAAGCAAAACUGGUAANAACCCAAANNACGCCAGGUCGAGNGUGUAGCUANCGAAGGAAAGAAAUGGGCUACAUUUCCUUCCCCCAGGANAACACGAAUUGUGCUAUGAAANNAUACACAUGAAGGUGGAUUUAG
rnacentral:rRNA from 1 species